GUAAAACUCGUUCUCGCAAACCUCUCCAGCUGGUGGUUGGUACUCUGACACCGAGCUCGGUCUUCCUGUCCUGGGGUUUCCUCAUCAACCCACACCAUGACUGGACAUUGCCAAGUCACUGUCCCAAUGACAGAUUUUAUACAAUUCGUUAUCGAGAAAAGGAUAAAGAAAAGAAGUGGAUUUUUCAAAUCUGUCCAGCCACUGAAACAAUUGUGGAAAAUCUAAAGCCAAACACGGUUUAUGAAUUUGGAGUGAAAGACAAUGUGGAAGGUGGAAUUUGGAGUAAGAUUUUCAAUCACAAGACUGUUGUUGGAAGUAAAAAAGUAAAUGGGAAAAUCCAAAGUACCUAUGACCAAGACCACACAGUGGUAUGUAACAGUUUAUUUUCAAGAAUGUUUUUUUAAAAAAAUUAUAUCUGCAUUGUU